rnacentral:rRNA from 1 species
CAGUCGCCACGGUAAUACGGAGGGGGCUAGCGUUGUUCGGAAUUACUGGGCGUAAAGCGCACGUAGGCGGACUGGAAAGUCAGAGGUGAAAUCCCAGGGCUCAACCUUGGAACUGCCUUUGAAACUAUCAGUCUGGAGUUCGAGAGAGGUGAGUGGAAUUCCGAGUGUAGAGGUGAAAUUCGUAGAUAUUCGGAGGAACACCAGUGGCGAAGGCGGCUCACUGGCUCGAUACUGACGCUGAGGUGCGAAAGCGUGGGGAGCAAACAGGAUUAGAUACCCGUGUAGUCCCUGUCUCUUAUAC